rnacentral:lncRNA from 1 species
GAACAGGUCCUAGGGGUGGCGCCGCUGGCUGGGGCUCCUAAACAGAGAAGUAAGUACCUUUCCUCAAAUUUCCACCUUCAUGGACAAUUGAGCCUCACACUUGAGGAAAAUACACGUAGCGGGAAACUGAAGCAUAUUGGGAGUGUAAAAACCGGUUAAAAAGAUGGUCUGGACUCCAAACACACCUAAAAGCCCUCAGGUGAGGACCCAGACCCCAUGCAUUUCGCUUCCCUACGGCCCGAGCUAAUUACACUUUGCUCUUUGGUUAGAGCAUGCAUCUUUCUCCUGCUCUGGCCUCUUCCUGGUGCAAUUAACUGAUCAAUGAGCAUGCGUCCCUCUCCUUUCUCCUCAGCACUCCCAGCCCCGCCCAUCACCAGCAGGCAGCCACCGUGCUGUGUUUAAUGCGUGCCUUGUUUCAUCUGUUUACUCGACAAAUGUAUUAUUUUGCGCCGCACUGUUUUAAAUGCGCGUGGAUGUCGUAUAUGGCAUUUUGAUUUGCCUCUUGUUUUUUUUUUCCACUCGAGAUUAUGCUUUUGGGGUCCACCGGCUGUGACGAUGAUUAAGAAUCACAGGUGGCUGCCCCCACGUAGCUUCUAGUUCUCAUU